rnacentral:rRNA from 1 species
UGGGGAAUUUUUCCGCAAUGGGCGAAAGCCUGACGGAGCAANNCCGCGUGAGGGAGGAAGGCCUNUGGGNUGUAAACCUCUUUUAUCAGGGAAGAAGAUCUGACGGUACCUGAAGAAUAAGCCUCGGCUAACUCCGUGCCAGCAGCCGCGGUAAUACGGAGNGAGGCAAGCGUUAUCCGGAAUCAUUGGGCGUAAAGCGUCCGCAGGNGGCCAUUCAAGUCUGCUGUCAAAGACCGGAGCUNAACUCCNNCAAGGCAGUGGAAACUGNGGGGCUAGAGUNNGGUAGGGGCAGAGGGAAUUCCCNGUGUAGCGGUGAAAUGCGUAGAUAUCGGGAAGAACACCNGUGGCGAANGCGCUCU